GAGUGAAAGGACCAAAGUGAAAGGACCCACCAGCAGAGGGAAGGAGCAGUUCCAGGUGGCGGCGUCAUCUGGAUUUGGACCAGCCUGUUCCCGAAGUUUGGUAUGUCUUUUUCUCUUCUCUUCAAGGUAGAUUUGCUUCAUGAAUAAUGCUCGACGCCGGCCUUGGCGAGCCCGCUCUGCCACCUGGAUCAUUUUAAUGGCUUCUUCAAAUGUCAUGGCCUUGACAGGUUUCUUCAGCAGCGCAGCCAAAGAGGAAAGGACAAAGCAGAGCGGUUUUGUUAACUGCCUACCUCAGUUAGCAGAUGAGACAGUGAAUUAACCUUUAGUGGAAACUUUCUAAGACAAAACAUCUCUGCUACAAACAGCAGAGACUCUUCUUGCAGGGCCAUCAUGUGGUAUUUUUGAAAUUUGCUAUCUCCAGAGACAAUUUUUAAGGAGAAAGUGAGCCUGACACACUGCUGUCGUUUCUGUGGCAUCCCAGGGAUGGGUUCCUGGAUGGACUGCUGGAUCCUCAGCUCUUUUGCUGAGUGAAACAACAGGCUGAUUUGAGCUAGCCAGACCUGGUCAGAAGGUCUGACUUAGGGAAAAAAGCAUGUCAGAACAGGGCAGCUGGAGAGAAC